UUCCUUUGUUAACAGAAAACUUACAAGGGUGCUGAACUACAACUAUCUGUACUCCAUCAACGGUUUCCUAUUGGUCAACCCUUGGUGGCUUUGUUUUGAUUGGUCAAUGGGUUGUUUACCUGUCAUCAAGUCUCUGAUGGAUCCCCGGGUUCUGGCUGUAUUUGCAUUCUGGUUGGUGCUCGGAGGAUUGUUAUUUGCAGCAUUAAAUGGUGCCAUGGAUCGGGAGAAACGAUGUCUGUCUAUGGGUCUGGCCCUGAUUGUGGUUCCUUUCCU